AUUUACACUUGAGGGUAGGUAAAAAUUUAUAUGCAUAUAUGUAAGUCGUCGUGGCCUAAAGGAUAAGACGUCCGGUGCAUUCGUUGUUGCGAUGCAACGGUGUUCGAAUCCCGCAGGAGGAAACUGAGCUUGGACUUCCGGCUUCACGUUGACAACGGUAGACCGAACAUGUUGGAGAUGACUAAAAUCCAUAGCGGCUUUUGUUUUGGUUUGACCGAAAAAAUAGUACGUGCCUGCCUAAUUUGAAUGCCGACACCAUCGUAUCGUUCAAUAAGUGCACACCGACCAUUUUAUCCGUUAGGGCAAAAAUACUUCAAAAUCUACAAACUUUCUUCAAGACAAACUUCAAAACAAAACAUUCGUUUGAAGUCGUCGCGGCCUAAAGGAUAAGACGUCCGGUGCAUUCGCAUCUAGCGAUGCGACUGUACCAGUGUUAGAAUCACGCAGGCGGGUCCCAAUUUUUCUAAUGAAAUAUGUACUUAAGAAAUGUUCACAAUAGACUUCCACGGUGAAUUAGUAAUGCAAUUCCGUUUGAAGGAUGGAGCAGCUAUUGUACUGUAAAAUCAAACAUUUACGUGGCGGCAUAUACGUCGUAGAUGUCUCUGAGCUCCUAACCACUUAAUACCAGGUGGGCCGUGAGCUCGUCCACCCAUCUAUGCAAUAAAUAUAAAUAUAUUAUAAUCCAUAUUUGUAUACCUUCAUGUACAUACAAUGUAACGAACUAAUUUAAUAUACUGACUAUUGUAAAUGAUACCUACAAAUAUUGACAAAUAAAUCACUGUGACUGUGACUUUUAUAAUAUGCACAUAAGAUUUCGAAUCAAAUUCGUAUAUAACAUGUUUUACACGUUUUAUAAAUUUCGCAAAUUAUCGCGGACAACUAAUUUAAAUUUUAGAAUAUGUAUUUUUUGUAAUGACGUCAAAGGCGUCAAUCGAUUUUUUUAAAACUUGCAAUAACGAUCGACCUGGAUCAAAUAAUACGCGUUAUUUAAAUUUGCAAAAAAUUUGAAGUCGUCGUGGCCUAAUGGAUAAGAUGUCCGGUGCAUUCGUGUUGAGCGAUGCACCCGGUGUUCGAAUCUCAGGCGGGUACUAAUUUUUCUAAUGAAAUACGUAAUCAACAAAUGUUCACGAUAGAUUUCCACGGUGAAGGAAUAACAUCGUGUAAUAAAAAUCAAACCCGCAAAAAUUAUAAUUUGCGUAAUUACUGAUGGUAGGACCUCUUGUGAGUCCGCGCGGGUGGGUACCACCACCCUGCCUAUUUCUGCCGUGAAGCAGUAAUGCGUUUCGGUUUGAAGGGUGGGGCAGCCGUUGUAACUUACUUGAGACCUUAGAACUUAUAUCUCAAGGUGGGUGGCGCAUUUACGUUGUGGAUGUCUAUGGGUUCCAGUAACCACUUAACACCAGGUGGGCUGUGAGCUCGUCCACCCAUCUAAGCAAUAAAAAAAAAAGCAUGAAGGACGAAAUACGUAGUACAAUCUCGAAUUUGUUCAAGGCUAUCGAAAUGUUGCUCUACUCAACUACAGCUAUGAAUUAUUUAUUCGAUUUAAGUGUUCAAAAAAUUUCUACAAAAAAAUCUGAACGAGUUUUAGAGUGGUCUGUUUACACCACAUCCGCUUAAUAACGAUGGUUCGAUGGUCUAACAACAUAAUUUAAUUUCAAUUGUUUUUUUUUUGUACAAUAUGUUUCAUUUCAGUUUUACUCAAAAAAGUCGGUCGAUAUAUAUUUUUUUAACUCUUCUAUUAGUUUGACCUGUAUUAUUAUUUAUUACUCUAGCCGUACUCGGCGCUUCGCUGGACAUUCAAAAUUAACAUUAUUAUUUAUUGUCAUUAUUAUUAGGGAGUCCAACACUCAUAUAAAUAUUAGCCUAUCCAUUAAGUACGUGUAUUUUCUACAUGGAUACCAAGUUUCAAGUCAAUCGGAUGCAUGGUUCAGUAGUUAUAACGGAACAUCCGUAAAAACCACUGUAGAUUUGUAUAUUAGUAUAGAUAUAGUAUAUAUUUGUAUAAAAUAUUAUUUUAACGUAACUUUCGCAAACUUCAAGAUUUCACAUUAAUUUAUAAAUUUGUUCACGUAUCGCCUAAUACAACAUAUUCAUUUUAUUAUUUUGGCGCAAUAUUACUUUCAUUAUUAUUUCGGAUUGGUAUCAAAACGUUUUCAAACGCUUUGUGACCAUUGCCACCACUACAGAUGGUAAUAUGCACGCAGUAAUUAAUAUACUAAGUAAUAACCAUUAUUAGACAUAAUAAAAUAAUAAAUAAAUUUAAUUAUUCAUGUUCCAAGCUGGACAGUGAUCAUACAAAAAAAACAUUGAAAAAUCUAAAUAAAUUAACUUCUCGUUUUGAAUAUUAUUCAUAAAUGCAGUAUUAUUAUUUAAAUUUAUUUCUGCGGUAGACGUUUUUCUAUUUGAAACAAGUAUUUUUAUUGUUUCCAUUAAAAGUUGUAGGAAGUUUCUUUUUAGCACUGUUAUGUAGGUUUAUUAUAAUUAUGCGGAUGGCGAAUCGGUCUGAUUUGUUUAUUCUUUUCGAUAAAUCAGUUAACUAGACACGAACUCUCAAAGAACGUAAUGGUCAGAGCAGUUCUUACGUGAUUGGGCUCUGUCCGGCCUAUACAUUCCCCCUCAUCCGUUUGCAGUGGUAACAUCCUCAUUUCAUUUUCCAAACAUUCGUGUCCUGAUUUGAAAAUGCAAAACAUAUUUCAAAUGUCGUCAAUUUCAUGAAAUCCCUCUUGUUUUUUUAUUGCAUAGGUUAUAAGUGCUUUCUGGAGCCCAUAGACAUCUACAACGUAAAAGCGCCACCCACCUUGAUAUAUAAGUUCUAAGGUCUCAGUAUAGUUAGAACGGCUGCCCCACCCUUCGAACCGAAACGCAUUACUGCUUCACGGCAGAAAUAGGCGGGGUGGUAGUACCUACCCGUGCGGACUCAAGAGGUCCUACCACCAGUAAAGACGUAUUGUACACCAGUGUGUACCCAGCGAAGCUUAAAGCUGAGCAAAGAUGUAACUAAUAAUGCGUUGAUUAGUAAUUAUAAUUAUUAAACAAAGUACAUAACUAUUCACUAAUGUACCGAAUAAGAAAAUCAAGGGACUUUAAUCACAGAUUUCACAGAACAUUUUAAUUUAUAAAAAAAAAAAUCAGUUUAAAAGUAAAAUUAAUUAAAUGUUUACUUUAAUUGUCGUGAUCAAGAUAAAUUAUUAGAUGUAAAUAAUGAAAUGAUUGUAUGACCAAAUUAAGCUUGCAAAAUCUUCAAAUUAAUCGUACUUCUAGAAGUAUCAUAAAAUACUUAGAAAGAUUCCAUUAUAUAGAUAAACGUCUGGCUAAUAUAAAACGUAAAAAAAUCGUUCAGACACUUUUCAUUAUGCAAAAACAUAUAAUUUUCCAAAUAUCGUACCAAAUAAAUAAAGCAAACAACUUUAAAAUCUAUAGUCAUAUGCGGCUUUAUGCCCAUUCGCACGGUUGCUCUAAUAAAAUGGACACUUUAACGUUCAAAUCCGAAACACGUGCCCGGAGUGAUGUUAAUUAUCACGUGAACAGAUAAUAAAUUGGUAUAUUAUUUACAUUACGUCUAAGCUCGUACACAAAUGAUGCAGGAAAAUUUUAAUAAAAACUGGUUCGAUGGUU